rnacentral:rRNA from 1 species
CAGUCGCCACGGGAUACGGAGGGAGCUAGCGUUGUUCGGAAUUACUGGGCGUAAAGCGCGCGUAGGCGGUUACUCAAGUCAGAGGUGAAAGCCCGGGGCUCAACCCCGGAACUGCCUUUGAAACUAGGUGACUAGAAUCUUGGAGAGGUCAGUGGAAUUCCGAGUGUAGAGGUGAAAUUCGUAGAUAUUCGGAAGAACACCAGUGGCGAAGGCGACUGACUGGACAAGUAUUGACGCUGAGGUGCGAAAGCGUGGGGAGCAAACAGGAUUAGAUACCCCUGUAGUCCCUGUCUCUUAUACA